CUAUUCUUUUUCUUUUUCCUCUUCUCACGCCGUUCCUUCUUCCUUCCCGUGCGCGUGCCCUAGCCAUUUCUUCCCUAUCAGCGUCGCAACCGCCGCCGGCCAUUUCUUCCUCUCCUCCCCUUGUGUUCAUGAACCGGCGGCCGAGAGAAACUUCAAGUCCUUCCCUUUUCCCCUACCUCCUCUCUUUCCCGAUUCCCCCUUUUGCGCACACGCUCUGCCUCUCUUGCGGACAACCCGACGCCGAGGCUAAGGGAGACUUGUCACCGGAGCUAGACGGUGUUGAGGAAGACCUAGUUGUAUCCGGCCGAGGGAUUUUUGUUUCGGGAGUUUCAGCGACGAUCGUCGACGGUGCGACGGCUACGGCACAGAGGAGGCUGGAUUCGGGUCAUCUCUCAACCAAGUCGACCUUCCCUUUCCUCUCCUCGCGCCACUCACAAUGCUGUUUCCCUCUUUGCUCGCCGGAUUGGACCAACCGACGUUGCUGCAGGGGAUCUGCCGCAGUCACCACCGGCUGCCAAUGAUUCUCUUCCAUAUACUUCCCAUCCCUUAGUCCCUGGUGAUGAGAUUUUUCUUCCUCGCGCAUCACAGCAACAUCCGGAUUUGCAUCAGAGAGGAAGCUCGAGUUGGAAUUCGGCUCUGGCUAGGGAUUGGCUAUUCAUGGAUAGCUGCUGCCACUAGACCCUUUGCUUCGGCUGGUUCCCUAGCUCUAGGGUCAGUAAUGGACUUCUCAUUUGGUUCGACAUGAAGCUUUGGCCAAAUUCCCAAAUAGCACUAGUUCGGUCACCAUUACCACAGUGAACGCGCUCCGACACUGAUCAAGCAGGACUUUGUUUGGAGACAAACGCCUGGAUACGAGAUUUAUUGCGAUACAGACUACGUAUAAAGGCGGGUACCUCUUGACUUAUCUUUUAUGAUAUUGUCAUUGGAUAUGCAUAGUAUUUUAUAACUACAUGCAAUGAACAUGUUUGCCUUUGGUAUGUCACUGUUUGAUAUCCAU